AUUGAACGCUGGCGGCAUGCCUUACACAUGCAAGUCGAACGGUAACAGGUCUUCGGAUGCUGACGAGUGGCGAACGGGUGAGUAAUACAUCGGAACGUGCCCAGACGUGGGGGAUAACGAGGCGAAAGCUUUGCUAAUACCGCAUACGAUCUGAGAAUGAAAGCAGGGGACCUCAAGGCCUUGCGCGUUUGGAGCGGCCGAUGGCAGAUUAGGUAGUUGGUGGGAUAAAAGUUUACUAAGCCGACGACCUGUAGCUGGUCUGAGAGGAGGAGCAGCCACACUGGGACGGAGACACGGCCCAGACUCCUACGAGAGGCAGCAGUGGGGAAUUUUGGACAAGGGGCGAAAGCCGGAUCCUGCAAUGCCGCGUGCAGGAUGAAGGCCUUCGGGUUGUAGACUGCUUUUGUACGGAACGAAAAGGCUCUGGCUAAUACCUGGGGCACAUGACGGUACCGGAAGAAUAAGCACCGGCUAACUACGUG
rnacentral:rRNA from 1 species